ensembl:snRNA U6 U6 spliceosomal RNA
GUGUUCACUUUGGCAGCACAUAUAGAAAAUUGGAACACAGAGAAGAUUAGCAUGACCUCUGUGCAAGGGUAACAAGCAAAUUCAUGAAGCAUUCCAUAUUUUU